ensembl:lncRNA
UUUUUCUUUAAUGGUGUGAAAUAUGUUUAAUCAUUAAAAGUGUCCUCAAAUUGCCUGAUUCCCACUUGUUUUUCAGCAUGCCAGGCCUCAAGUGAGUCAGAGUGAUAACUCCACACACCAAACCUUUUGUAAAUGAAUUACUGAAAGAACCUCCAACCUCAGAACAAAUGCUACAGAUAAGAUGGAGUCUUAACACUUAUACCUGGCCAUCUUUAGCAUCAUUUUGAUUUGUACUUCUGAAUGGGGUUCUCUUUGGAAAUUCCCACCUUGGCCAGCAGAGCUCCUGAGAUUCAACAGAAGUACCGCAAACUCACUACAACCAAAAUUUUUAUUGUUCCCAAAAAGCUAGCCAAGGAAAACUUCAUGACUACAUUAGAACUUGAAGUAAGGAUAUUUGUGGCAGAAGAAUUCCUGUACAUCCAACCCAGACCUACCUUCUACCUUUUCAUCAGGAGGCAUUAGCUUAGGUCAGGCCAUCUCUUCACAGCCCAAAGUGGGGAAAUACUCAAGUAUGAUUAUUUGUUCUCACACCAGUCUCUUGCCAGACUGCCAUUUUUACUCCUUUCCAUGUAUCAAAAUCUGGCUGAGCCUUCAGGGUUCAUCUUCAGUCCCUGUGACUCCUCUGCUCCAGUGGUCUCAACCUGGGCUGCAUAGUAGAAUCUCCUGGAAGAUCUAAAAGAAAAAAAAUCCAAUGUCCAGAUCCCAAACAUGUUUAUUCAGUUGGUCUAAAAUGGAGCAUGAGCAUUUUUAAAGAGAUCUUCAGGUGAUUCUAAUGUGCAGCAAGAUUUGAGGACUAUUUUUACAUUUAAUUCCAUUCAACUUGAAUUACAUUUCCUUUUGUAGUUUAAUUAUAUUUUCCAUAUUUCCAUGUGUAAAUUUCUCAGCUUAGAGUUAAAAAGCUUCUUGUUCCUCCAACUGUGGAUCCUCAUUUGCUCAUCCAGUCAAGAAGAGCUUUUUAUCUUUAAAAUAGAAAACUGACUCUGCUUGUCUUAAGCUUAUGUAUAACGAGGGAAAGUGUCACUUUGGGGGGCAUGGGGCUGAGAACAUCCUUUACUGUUUAACAACCAUUGUGUACAAAGAAUAGCAAAGCCUUACUUCCUGGCAGAAUAGGAGUUAACUGUGUCAUGGGACUUGAGGGGUUCUUGGCAGAACAUUUGAUUUAAAUAUCUGUUUUACUCUUGCUGCCACAUUAGCAGAACUUCUGUCAUUAGAGAUUCAUGUAUUUGGAUUAAGAUUUCACCUCUUUAGGAGCUUUUCAUUAGUCAUAAAUAAUCCUAGAAGGAUUCAUUAAGACCUUUGUGUGAGAGCUCAUCGGGUCACUGUUGCUUGCAAUAAGAGGAGGCAUAUACAAUUACCAUUUGUAAUAGACUUUGUCUCUUUCUCUAUGCUCUCCAUAAAGGCAGAGCUGUGCUUGUAUUAGCUAUUAUGUCCCCAGCACCUAACUCAGUGUCUGGACAAAGCAGAUUAUAGUAAAUGCCUUUGAAUGAAUGAAUGAUGAAUAAAAGAAUGAAUGAUCACACGAGCAAAUGGAUAGCCACAAUUAGUUAUGAAUCCUGAAAGAAUAGAAAGAGAUAGAAAAAAAAAAAAGAAUUGUUGGAGGAAAAACAUUACCAUGUCACAGUUGUCCUGGAGUUUGAAGCUUUGCACAACCUUAUCUCAUAAAGUAUGUUAAAGACAAUUCCCUAAUAGUUCCAUUUUGAGGCUGUUGACUUUUUUUGCUGGGAUGUUCCCCCACCAUCUUUUUUCUUCAAUAAUAUUAAUAAAAAGUACAAUCA